AUGGCAGAUCGUUUCUGGGUCCCGAACUCCCAGAAGUCUGACUGGAAGCAAGGGCUAUCAAACACCCGCUUGGCUCGGACAGGCGGCACUGCUCGUUUGUCUGCGCCGCCGUUUCCUGGGCGACCACGCAAGUCCACGCCUCGCCUACUGGGUGUGGAUGGCCGCGGUUGCCAUGACAGCUGGGAGUCCUGGGGUUGGACAGCCGGGGCGGCGGGACUACGUUUCCCUACAGCCCCCGCGAGGGCUCCGGCUCUCCGGCGGAGGCACAGUGCCGCGACGGACCGUAGGCAGAGGGAAGAAGGCUUCGUGCUGCGUGCGAGGCGGGGACCAGGGCACCCGUGCGGGCCGCCCCUCAAGCUGGUCCAGAGGAAGCGCCCUAGGCCCUGUGGCUACCCUGUCUGGGAAGGGGUAUGAUGGCUGCCCGGAAGAACAAGGCGUCAGCCCUGGCCCCCGGGGUCCUUCAGAGCACACCAGCCCCAAUGGUGGGUGAGCCUAGCUCUGAAAUCUAUGGCAGGUGCUUCUGGGGUUCCGCUACAAGGAGGAAGAGGGGCUUCAUGAGGCACUGGCCCGGCUCAGAGCUGUGCUGUCAGUGGUUUUAGCCAGAGGCAUGCUCCGAGGAGCAGAUGCUGGAGCUCUUGGUACUGGAG
rnacentral:lncRNA from 1 species